UACGGAGGGGGCUAGCGUUGUUCGGAAUUACUGGGCGUAAAGCGCACGUAGGCGGACUGGAAAGUCAGAGGUGAAAUCCCAGGGCUCAACCUUGGAACUGCCUUUGAAACUAUCAGUCUGGAGUUCGAGAGAGGUGAGUGGAAUUCCGAGUGUAGAGGUGAAAUUCGUAGAUAUUCGGAGGAACACCAGUGGCGAAGGCGGCUCACUGGCGUCGAUACUGACGCUGAGGUGCGAAAGCGUGGGGAGCAAACAGG
rnacentral:rRNA from 1 species